rnacentral:rRNA from 1 species
UACAGAGGGUGCGAGCGUUAAUCGGAAUUACUGGGCGUAAAGCGUGCGUAGACGGUUAUGUAAGUCAGAUGUGAAAGCCCCGGGCUCAACCUGGGAAUUGCAUUUGAGACUGCAUAGCUAGGAUGCGGAAGAGGGAAGUGGAAUUUCCGGUGUAGCGGUGAAAUGCGUAGAUAUCGGAAGGAACAUCAGUGGCGAAAGCGACUUCCUGGUCCAGCAUCGACGUCAGGCACGAAAGCGUGGGGAGCAAACAGG